AUCUCUAUUGAAGCAAGAAGACCCCCUGAAUUUAAGCAUAUAAUUAAGGGGAGGAAAAGAAACCAACUCGGAUUCCCCUAGUAAUGGCGAGUGAAGCGGGAAGAGCUCAUGUUGUAAAUCUCCAGCUUGCUGGCGAAUUGUAGUCUAAAGGUGCGUGCUCAGUCGUGGUCCCGGGCUAAGUCUGUUGGAAAACAGCAUCAUGGACGGUGACAAUCCGGUUCUUGCCUGGGGUCCCGCGGCGUACGAGCCGUUUCCGACGAGUCGUGUUGCUUGGGAUUGCAGCACUAAGUGGGUGGUAAAUUCCAUCUAAAGCUAAAUAUUGGCGAGAGACCGAUAGCAAACAAGUACCGUGAGGGAAAGAUGAAAAGACUUUUGAAAAGAGAGUAAAAUAGUACCUGAAACUGCUGAAAGGGAAGCGAUUGAAGUCAGUGUUGCUCCUGG
rnacentral:rRNA from 1 species